AACGCUGGCGGCAGGCCUAACACAUGCAAGUCGAGCGCGCCUUCGGGUGAGCGGCGGACGGGUUAGUAACGCGUGGGAACGUGCCCUUCUCUACGGAAUAGCCUCUGGAAACGGAGAGUAAUACCGUAUACGCCCUUUGGGGGAAAGAUUUAUCGGAGAAGGAUCGGCCCGCGUUAGAUUAGGUAGUUGGUGGGGUAACGGCCUACCAAGCCUACGAUCUAUAGCUGGUUUUAGAGGAUGAUCAGCAACACUGGGACUGAGACACGGCCCAGACUCCUACGGGAGGCAGCAGUGGGGAAUCUUAGACAAUGGGGGCAACCCUGAUCUAGCCAUGCCGCGUGAGUGGUGAAGGCCUUAGGGUCGUAAAGCUCUUUCGCCUGUGAUGAUAAUGACAGUAGCAGGUAAAGAAACCCCGGCUAACUCCGUGCCAGCAGCCGCGGUAAUACGGAGGGGGUUAGCGUUGUUCGGAAUUACUGGGCGUAAAGCGCGCGUAGGCGGAUUAGAAAGUUGGGGGUGAAAUCCCGGGGCUCAACCCC
rnacentral:rRNA from 1 species